rnacentral:rRNA from 1 species
GACGAACGCUGGCGGCGUGCUUAACACAUGCAAGUCGAACGGAAAGGCCCUGCUUUUGUGGGGUGCUCGAGUGGCGAACGGGUGAGUAACACGUGAGUAACCUGCCCUUGACUUUGGGAUAACUUCAGGAAACUGGGGCUAAUACCGGAUAGGAGCUCCUGCGGCAUGGUGGGGGUUGGAAAGUUUCGGCGGUUGGGGAUGGACUCGCGGCUUAUCAGCUUGUUGGUGGGGUAGUGGCUUACCAAGGCUUUGACGGGUAGCCGGCCUGAGAGGGUGACCGGCCACAUUGGGACUGAGAUACGGCCCAGACUCCUACGGGAGGCAGCAGUGGGGAAUAUUGCACAAUGGGCGGAAGCCUGAUGCAGCACCGCCGCGUGCGGGAUGACGGCCUUCGGGUUGUAAACCGCUUUCGCCUGUGACGAAGCGUGAGUGACGGUAAUGGGUAAAGAAGCACCGGCUAACUACGUG